GGUUUGGUCCCAGCCUUUCUAUUAGCUGUCAGUAAAAUUACACAUGCAAGCCUCCACGCCCCAGUGAGAAUACCCUUGAAGUCACCAUAACUUGACAUAAAGGAGUUGGCAUCAAGUACACCCAUUUAGAGGUAGCUAAUGACGCCUUGCUUAGCCACGCCCCCACGGGAGACAGCAGUGAUAAAAAUUAAGCAAUGAACGAAAGUUUGACUAAGUUAUACUGACAUAGGGUUGGUAAAUUUCGUGCCAGCCACCGCGGUCAUACGAUUAACCCAAGUUAAUAGACAUACGGCGUAAAGAGUGUUUAAGAGUUAUACUUAAAUUAAAGCCAAGACUUAACUAAGAUGUAAAAACCUACAGUUAAAGUAAAAAUAACCCACGAAAGUGGCUUUAAAAUACUCCGAUUACACGAUAGCUAAGACCCAAACUGGGAUUAGAUACCCCACUAUGCUUAGCCCUAAACUAAGAUAAUCAAUUCAACAAGAUUAUCCGCCAGAGAACUACUAGCAACAGCUUAAAACUCAAAGGACUUGGCGGUGCUUUAUAUCCCUCUAGAGGAGCCUGUUCUAUAAUCGAUAAACCCCGAUCAACCUCACCAACUCUUGCUAAUUCAGCCUAUAUACCGCCAUCUUCAGCAAACCCUUAAAAGGAGCCAUAGUAAGCACAAGUAUAGACAUAAAAACGUUAGGUCAAGGUGUAGCUUAUGGGUUGGGAAGAAAUGGGCUACAUUUUCUACUUAAAUAGAACAUUCACGAAAGCUCUCAUGAAACUUCAGAGCCAAAGGAGGAUUUAGUAGUAAAUUAAGAAUAGAGUGCUUAA
rnacentral:ncRNA from 1 species